AUUUAAAGGCUCCCAAUCAGGCCCGUAUCAGAAUACAGGAGCAGCACAAUGUACACAAAAUCAUCAUCAUGACCAACUUUGAUCUACACUGGACUACAUGAGCUGCUGCUACAUAAACAAAAGUUUUUACCCCUCAGUCGGCUGAUGUCAUCAUCCCAGUUUGGCGUGCGGGCGGUGUGGACGUCCAACUUUACGAAGGUCUCUGUGAUGUCAUUGAGAGUGAACGCUUUUGUAUGAUGAUCCCAGCCACUGUGAGCUCAGAAACCCCACCCACUGCACUUCAAACUUUCUAUUUGUGAGGGCAGCUAAUCAGAAUAGUUUGUUUUAGAUCAAGGAUGAAGUGACAGGUUGAGUCACGGCCAACACAAGUACAUAAGAAAUGUUUUGUAAGCCCAUGAAUUAAAGCUGGAAGUAAGCUUAGGCUAAAACAGCAGAGCAAAUUAAGUAAACCUUAAAAACAUUAUUUUCUUCAGUAAAAUUUACUAACAGCUCACUUAAUAGAGGUAAACUUAAAAGUAUUUAACACAGCUGAAUAGAUCUGAACAAAAGUGAAUUUAAUUUAAAUGAAAUGAGCGAAAUGGGAGGGGGAUGGCAAUAAGUCUUCCACAGGUGAUGAAAAGGCAGCGUGCGAGCGUGUCAUUUAAUGUAUUGUUAGGCUAAUUUCUCGACAGCCUCCUGCAGAGACACAUUGUUUCAUUUCAAUAUCAAACGCCUGUGAGGAAAAGCUUUUUAAAAGGCGCACUAAUUGUUGUAAUGGUCUGUUCUUCUGCACCUCUCCCGCAACCUCUCUCUCCUCCUUUCACACUGUAUUAUAAUGACCCGCUCCCGUCUUCCUCUCUCUCUCGAUCCACGCACACACCAGCACAGAUUUUUGAGUGACAGUUUAAUGAGAAGUGCUUUUCCAUUAAACAGACAAAAGGAGAGAACGCAUCAAUUAACACCCACUUACAAACAACACACACGCGCACAUACACAUUUCUAGAUGCGUGAGAUUUUGUGCUUCGUUCUCUAUCACACACACACACACACACACACACACACACACACACACACACACACAGAUUACAGAUGAAUUAAUGAAAUAACUCAUAAGUAAACCAAUGCAUUGAUCCCGGUCACAUUUUAUAUGUCUGAACGCUGUUACAGCUACACUAAUAUAUGUUUAUUUUAAAACAAUAUUUUCAGUUGAAAAUGAUCUAUGUGCAGAUCUUUAUCCAGGGUACACAUGUGAGUGCUGGAUUAAACAGCAGGCAGAGAGAAGAUGGUGUAAAAACUGAGGCUGGUGAAUUCUUCCAAGGACCAGUGAUGAGAUGGAACUGAAAGUUGCACAUGGGUGUAAGGCGGUUAUGGAGGUGGAAAACAGAUUGGAAGCUGCUGCAAAGCAAAUAUGACAAAAGAGCAGUGCCAGCAGGAAACCGUGGCAAGGAGGACCCACACAAGAAAGAUGGAAAUAAUAUAUGUCAGUCUAGCUACCAUGUGUUGCCUUAAUUAUUGUGAUUGGGAAGAUCCAGUCAGGAAGCAAACAUCUGUGUCUGGAAAUGCUCAUUUUCUUCUUUUGUUUUAAAACUUUUUACACUUAAACUUCAGACUAUGUUUACUAAAUGAGCUCAAUCCUCACAGGUGUGGUUAGUUUUCAUUUUUGCUGUUUUUUUUUUUUUAAAUACAGUGCAAAACACAUUUUUUCUGUGUGUUUUGAGAAAAGAACUCCCAGAAGUACAUAUGCAGCAUGGUCAGCCACAAAAUUCAACGAGUUCCCGCCUCCUACACAUUCGUCACUGCGCUCUCAACGCAGCCAAACGCUCCAUGACAUCAUUUGUAUCCGACAGAAACAACACGAAGACAACCAGGUGACCGUAUAUCUGCUGCAUGGCUUUUUGUCACACUUGUGCACGCAUUCCACUCGUUUCAAAAAUUAGGAUCAGAUCGCUUUGAACCCCGGCCGAGUAGGUACUAAUAAAGUACCUGGUACCAGGUACUACCAUCCAAUAGAAAAACGAGCUGAGGAAAAGGGUUGUUUGUAAAUACAAGCAGUACUUUUUU